GACCUCAAAUCAGGUAGGACUACCCGCUGAACUUAAGCAUAUCAAUAAGCGGAGGAAAAGAAACUAACAAGGAUUCCCCUAGUAACUGCGAGUGAAGCGGGAAAAGCUCAAAUUUAAAAUCUGGCGGUCUUUGGCCGUCCGAGUUGUAAUCUAGAGAAGUGUUAUCCGCGCUGGACCGUGUACAAGUCUCCUGGAAUGGAGCGUCAUAGAGGGUGAGAAUCCCGUCUUUGACACGGACUGCCAGGGCUUUGUGAUGCGCUCUCAAAGAGUCGAGUUGUUUGGGAAUGCAGCUCAAAAUGGGUGGUAAAUUCCAUCUAAAGCUAAAUAUUGGCGAGAGACCGAUAGCGAACAAGUACCGUGAGGGAAAGAUGAAAAGAACUUUGGAAAGAGAGUUAAACAGUACGUGAAAUUGCUGAAAGGGAAACGCUUGAAGUCAGUCGCAUUGUCUGGGAAUCAACCUUGCUUUUGCUGGGCGUACUUUCCAGAUGAUGGGUCAGCAUCAAUUUUGACCGUUGGAUAAAGUUCAAAGGAAUGUGGCAUCUUCGGGUGUGUUAUAGCCUUUGUUCGCAUGCAACGGUUGGGAUUGAGGAACUCAGCACGCCGAAAGGCCGGGUACUUGUACCACGUUCGUGCUUAGGAUGCUGGCAUAAUGGCUUUAAUCGACCCGUCUUGAAACACGGACCAAGGAGUCUAACAUGCCUGCGAGUAUUUGGGUGGAAAACCCGAGUGCGUAAUGAAAGUGAAAGUUGAGAUCCUUGUCAUGGGGAGCAUCGACGCCCGGACCAGACCUUUUGUGACGGUUCUGCGGUAGAGCAUGUAUGUUGGGACCCGAAAGAUGGUGAACUAUGCCUGAAUAGGGUGAAGCCAGAGGAAACUCUGGUGGAGGCUCGUAGCGAUUCUGACGUGCAAAUCGAUCGUCAAAUUUGGGUAUAGGGGCGAAAGACUAAUCGAACCAUCUAGUAGCUGGUUCCU
rnacentral:rRNA from 1 species